UAGGGAAUCUUCCGCAAUGGGCGAAAGCCUGACGGAGCAACGCCGCGUGAGUGAUGAAGGUCUUCGGAUCGUAAAACUCUGUUAUUAGGGAAGAACAAAUGUGUAAGUAACUAUGCACGUCUUGACGGUACCUAAUCAGAAAGCCACGGCUAACUACGUGCCAGCAGCCGCGGUAAUACGUAGGUGGCAAGCGUUAUCCGGAAUUAUUGGGCGUAAAGCGCGCGUAGGCGGUUUUUUAAGUCUGAUGUGAAAGCCCACGGCUCAACCGUGGAGGGUCAUUGGAAACUGGAAAACUUGAGUGCAGAAGAGGAAAGUGGAAUUCCAUGUGUAGCGGUGAAAUGCGCAGAGAUAUGGAGGAACACCAGUGGCGAAGGCGACUUUCUGGUCUGUAACUGACGCUGAUGUGCGAAAGCGUGGGGAGCAAACA
rnacentral:rRNA from 1 species